UUUGGAAGUAAAAGUCGUAACAAGGCUAAAUAUCCGCCAGAGACCGAUAGCGCACAAGUAGAGUGAUCGAAAGGUGAAAAGCACUUUGAAAAGAGGGUGAAACAGCACGUGAAAUUGUUGAAAGGGAAGCGCUUGCAACCAGAGUCGUUCGCGGGGGCUCCAUCGGCCCUCGGGCCCGGUGCACUCCCCCGCGGUCGGGCCAGCAUCAGCUCGGCCGGUCGGAUAAAGGUCGUGGGAAUGUGACACCUCCGGGUGUGUUAUAGCCCGCGGCACAAUACGGCCCGGCUGGGCUGAGGUCAGCGCCUUCAUGGCACGGAUGCUGGCGUAAUGGUUGUCAGCGGCCCGUCUUGAAACACGGACCAAGGAGUCUAACAUCUAUGCGAGUGUUCGGGUGUCAAACCCGUGAGCGGAAUGAAAGUGAACGGAGGUGGGAGCCCUCGGGCGCACCAUCGACCGAUCCUGAUGUCUUCGGAUGGAUUUGAGUAUGAGCAUAGCUGUUGGGACCCGAAAGAUGGUGAACUAUGCGUACAUAGGGUGAAGCCAGAGGAAACUCUGGUGGAGGCUCGCAGCGGUUCUGACGUGCAAAUCGAUCGU
rnacentral:misc_RNA from 1 species